UACAGAGGUCUCAAGCGUUGUUCGGAUUCAUUGGGCGUAAAGGGUGCGUAGGCGGCGCGGUAAGUCGGGUGUGAAAUUUCGAGGCUUAACUUCGAAACUGCAUUCGAUACUGCCGUGCUUGAGGACUGGAGAGGAGACUGGAAUUUACGGUGUAGCGGUGAAAUGCGUAGAUAGUCGUAAGGAAGACCAGUGGCGAAGGCGGGUCGUCUGACAGUUCCUGACGCUGAGGCACGAAGCCAGGGAGCGAAACGG
rnacentral:rRNA from 1 species